rnacentral:lncRNA from 1 species
GUUGUUAUCUAGUUAAGCUGUUCUCUCUUCAAUACUAAUGCUCCACCACUGACAAGUCUCCUCAGCUGACUGAUCUGUUACUCUGUGAGCAUUUGACAGAACACUAAGUGAUACAGAAAAAAUUUAGGUGAUUUCCUAAUUUAAGCAUGCCCUAAAUUGCAGUUACAUCAUACUGAUGUGAAGAGCCUGCAGUGAGCCCUGUGAGCAUCUCUGCCUUCAGAAUGAAACAUGCUUCACAUGAAAGUUUUAUACUGUGCAGCUCAGAAAGAGACUUCUGCAACAACUAUGGGAAGGGCAGAUCUCAGUCAUAAAUAAUGUAUAAUGUAUAAUGAUACAUGGGUCAUUGUUUCUCUGACCAUCAGUCAAAACACAAGAAGAACACAAGAAUGCUUUAACAGCAACAAACACCCAGAACGACUUAGAUAUACCUUGAAUUUCCUGUUGUUGGUAAUCCUUAUUUUCCUCUUUGACUUUCAUGAUGACUGGAAUGAUUUGAAAAUUUCAUUCUAGUAACAAACCACUUCAAGAUACAAUCUUCAAGAUCUUCAAGAGACUUGCCUGACUAUUGGCUUGACUGAAUCCUUUAGAAGUUAGUGGGAACUUUCUAAUCUUUUCAGAUGUGGCUGGAUGUUAGUGUAUAUGACUUACUGCCUUCUUGUUAGUAUGUUUAUGUUCUCAUGGGAAAGGUAUAUGAUCAGCAUUACUUCUUAUGAAUUCAGUAAUAGAAAGUAAUUUUCCUAUAAGACCUCCUAUCUAAGAGAUAUUAGAUAUUUCUCAUUCUGUAACAUUCAAAGAUGAAAAAAGUUUGUGUACUUUAUCAGCCUUUCCAAUGUAUACAUGAUUAUCACAUCUUUGGUUUGUACAGAUAAUGAAGAUAUAAAGACAUAGGUGUAGAUAUUCAUCAUAUUUUUAAAAAUGUCUUUCUAGCAGAUCAUAACAUUUCUUUUGUCUCCAUAAGGUGAUACAUUACCCGUUUUAAUAAUUAUUUUUAUAAGCCUGUUCUUCUAGGUACUGACAGUCAGUGUAUUAAACAUAUAGAUUAUAUAGAAGUAUAUAGAAUAUACAAGAAUAUGUAUAUAAGAAUAUGUAUAUAUUAUAUAUAUAUAUGUAUAUAUAUGCAUAGAAU